UACGGAGGGUGCAAGCGUUGUCCGGAAUCACUGGGCGUAAAGGGCGCGUAGGCGGCUCAUGAAGGCUGUGGUGAAAGUCCGGGGCUCAACCUCGGAUCGGCCGUGGCGACUCGUGGGCUGGAGCACUGUAGAGGCGGGUGGAAUUCCGGGUGUAGCGGUGGAAUGCGCAGAUAUCAGGAGGAACACCAAUGGCGAAGGCAGCUCGCUGGGACGGUACUGACGCUGAGACGCGAAAGCGUGGGGAGCAAACAGG
rnacentral:rRNA from 1 species